GAGCCAAGACCAGCGAGCGCUAGGGUUUUGGGUCACCUCUUUUCUCCGGGUUUCCCCCUCGCUCUUCUGUUCCUGAAUUAGCUGUUUAUUUACAGCUACAAACGUGUGUGAGCCAGCAAGCCAGCUCGUGAGGCCGGGCAUUGAUCUUUACCGAGACUCAAAGCUGAAACCGAAGGAGUGCAGGGGAUUUGGGGUUCUGAGUGGGACUCAGACCCUGGGUACCGAUGGGGCUUUCUUGCCCGCUUCCCUUAUCCUCGCGACCUUGCAGGAAUCCUCAAGCUUGAGAGCCGCCGGGCCUCGGGCUUUGGAGAAAGUGGCGACCGCUGCAUCCCAGUCUUUAAAAUGAACGCAAAGAAAGGAGGCAUAUCUGAAACCUGGUCGCGUGUCAGAAGCAACCUGCCGUGAAAUCCGCUAAUGCGCCGGGACUCGCCCUCCGCGGAAAAUGCCGGCAUUAGUCAAGCACACUGUAAUCAUCUAUUGUUGAGAGGAAGGUUUCUUGGUGAUGUUGGAAACUGGGGCACCAGGAAGUUCCAUCGAGCUGUUCUGGGCCUGCGUCGGCGUUGCUGGGCGACGGUGGAGUUCGCCAAGUGGGCGUGCGCACUGGGCCCGGCUUGGGGUAGGUUGGCUGGUCCCAGUCCUGUGCAUCUGAGGCUCCCGGCUGGGCUGUGGCUGGUGACUUCUCUCCAACGUCGGAAAAGAAUAUUGCACUAGAAAGCAUCGCUAGUACAAUUGGCUCUCUGCCCACCUCUCUGAGUUUUCCUUACUUUGAGUUGCUUUGAAUGGCGCCCUCUCUCUCACCCCUUCCUCUUCAGUUCCCAGCUUUGACACUCUCCACCAUCAGAAGGCCACUGCUAAUCCAUCCCGGGCCUCCAAAAGGACUGGAAAAAUAGUGUUCACCGCUGCCCCAAAUCUGGAAGAUUCAUCGUCUCCUCACCGACUGCCUCACAAUCGUGGGCAGGUUUCCUCCUCCGUUAAUAUAAAAUUCUGUCCAAGAGAGAAAACCCACUCUAGGUCAGACUACAAAAAGCCAAUUUCCGGGGAGUGAGGCUAACUUUAUCUAGGAGCUAGAAGCCUCUCGCGUCAGUCCCACAGUCACUGUGACACCUUCAGCGUUCUUGGCCUGAAGACUUGAAGAGCCUUUGCCAAAGUAGGCGACCCCCAGAAGAAUCCGCUGAUAGUUCACACAGGGCCCCAGGAGAGGAGGAGGUUUUCUUCCUUGCCCAGGAAGUAACCAGAUAUGCUCUCCGCAUCCUCAGUUCUCUGACCGCCACCAAGACGGCUCCAAGCAGUUCCUGGAACUCCAUGUUAGGUGGGGUUAGAGAGAGCUGACCGCCCUUCCACAGGCAUCUUCUUUGAAAAUGGGGGGGGGGGUAUAAGAUGAAAGAGUGAGUGUUGCAAAAAUGCUGGGUUUAAAAUCAUUUUCGGGUGCAAAACAAUAUUUAGGAAGGAAAGGGAGGAGAGAGAUUAGCCUGAAUGAAAACCAUACAGACAGUGAAUAAAGGAGCAAAGUUUGAAAGGGGGGCUUUAGAAGCAUUGGUUACCACUUCCUCCACCCGAUGAGAAGUUACUAGCUUUUUCCCUGUGGUGAAGGGGGAGGGGGACGGGCAGAGUAGAAGGAGGAUGUCACAUUGCAUGAAACUGGGAAUUAAUUUGUUGUUUUAAUUUUUUCAGUAAUACAUCAUCAGACUGCUUGUUCUAAAAUUCUUGUCUAUCCUAAGCACCAAAAGCAAUUUUCUGAAUGUCUUCUCCAGAGAUGGAAAGACUCCAGAGGAAGACAGUAAAAUCCUGCUGAGAGUAACUAGAAUCAAAAGUUUCACCUCAUUUACCAAGGGUUCUUCUGUACCCAGAUGCCACCCACAUGUCCCUCCUCAGGCUAGCUUCUGCAAGCUUCAGAAACGCUGGAGGGCUUCCAAAGCUGUAACCAAGGGUCUCUCACCCUAAAGCCCUGGGUAGGAACAUUUGCUGAAUCCCAGGACUCCCAGACACCAAAGGGGAACUGAGCACCUGAUGGCCCAGAGAGCCUAGAAACAUUUCUUUUGAAUGGUCC
rnacentral:lncRNA from 1 species